rnacentral:rRNA from 1 species
CCUACGGGAGGCAGCAGUGAGGAAUAUUGGGCAAUGGGCGAGAGCCUGAACCAGCCAAGUCGCGUGAAGGAUGAAGGAGCGAUGGUGUGUAAACUUCUUUUAUAGGGGAAUAAAGUGAGGAACGUGUGCAUUUUUGUAUGUACCAUAUGAAUAAGCAUCGGCUAACUCCGUGCCAGCAGCCGCGGUAAUACGGAGGAUGCGAGCGUUAUCCGGAUUUAUUGGGGUUAAAGGGUGCGUAGGUGGUUAAUUAAGUCAGCGGUGAAAGUUUGUGGCUCAACCAUAAAAUUGCCGUUGAAACUUGUUGCCUUGAGUCUAUUUGAGGUCGGCGGACUGCGUGGUGUAGCGG